GACGAACGCUGGCGGCGUGCUUAACACAUGCAAGUCGAACGGUGAAGGGACCGGUUUUUGCUGGUUCUGGAUGAGUGGCGAACGGGUGAGUAACACGUGAGUAACCUGCCCCCUUCUUCUGGAUAACCGCAUGAAAGCGUGGCUAAUACGGGAUAUUCUGCGCCUGCUGCAUGGUGGGUGUGGGAAAGAUAUUGUUUCGGUGGGGGAUGGGCUCGCGGCCUAUCAGCUUGUUGGUGGGGUGAUGGCCUACCAAGGCGGUGACGGGUAGCCGGCCUGAGAGGGUGGACGGUCACACUGGGACUGAGACACGGCCCAGACUCCUACGGGAGGCAGCAGUGGGGAAUAGUGCACAAUGGGCGCAAGCCUGAUGCAGCGACGCCGCGUGAGGGAUGGAGGCCUUCGGGUUGUAAACCUCUUUCGCCAGUGAAGCAGGCCUGUCCCUUUUGUGGGUGGGUUGACGGUAGCUGGAUAAGAAGCGCCGGCUAACUACGUG
rnacentral:rRNA from 1 species